GUAGGUGAACCUGCGGAAGGAUCAUUACCGAGUGAGGGCCCUCUGGGUCCAACCUCCCACCCGUGUUUAUUUUACCUUGUUGCUUCGGCGGGCCCGCCUUAACUGGCCGCCGGGGGGCUUACGCCCCCGGGCCCGCGCCCGCCGAAGACACCCUCGAACUCUGUCUGAAGAUUGUAGUCUGAGUGAAAAUAUAAAUUAUUUAAAACUUUCAACAACGGAUCUCUUGGUUCCGGCAUCGAUGAAGAACGCAGCGAAAUGCGAUACGUAAUGUGAAUUGCAAAUUCAGUGAAUCAUCGAGUCUUUGAACGCACAUUGCGCCCCCUGGUAUUCCGGGGGGCAUGCCUGUCCGAGCGUCAUUGCUGCCCUCAAGCACGGCUUGUGUGUUGGGCCCCGUCCUCCGAUCCCGGGGGACGGGCCCGAAAGGCAGCGGCGGCACCGCGUCCGGUCCUCGAGCGUAUGGGGCUUUGUCACCCGCUCUGUAGGCCCGGCCGGCGCUUGCCGAUCAACCCAAAUUUUUAUCCAGGUUGACCUCGGAUCAGGUAGGGAUACCCGCUGAACUUAAGCAUAUCAAUAAGGCGGAGGAA
rnacentral:rRNA from 1 species